CCCUGUGAACCUGGAAUCUUCUGAUAUGGGUAGAAGACUGUUAACCUUAAUGUCCUGCUUGGAUGGGAUAGCUCACACGGUAACAAGCUCAACCCUGAAGUUGAAGUUAAACCGCUUAAAUUCAAAUGCUGUUGACCAGAUGUGGAAACGCUGUCAGAUAAAUUCCUGCCUCAGAGCCUUGGUCUGUGAGGCUCCCACAGCAAGAAGCAAUCCCGUGGCUGCUUCCAGCACACAGUACUGUGGUGAAAAAUCACAUUUCCCAAUAUUCCUUACUUUCUGCAGUUAAAAGCAGCAGUUGAUAAACCGUGACCAGGAGCCUACCCUGUUUGCCUACCAAAUCUGAGGCAAACAAUUUCAUUAUCCCCAUCAGGUGAUGAAGCACAAAAAAAUUGAGCUCUGUUUAACUUUUAGCAUUUUGGUUUUGUAUAAAAGUUAAACGUUGCACGAAGGCCACUGAGCCUGAACAGAACAGGUGGUAAAAUUAAUGAAGUUGUUGCUCUACUCUGAAUUUAAUGUAAAAUCUUGUUUAAAAUAGCAUACUGGGCCUGACAACACAAGCUGCUGUCCAAAGAAAGGACUGCAGAGGUGAAAGAUAAACAGUGAAAUCAAUGUCCAUGAAUUACUUAUGGCAAAAAUGAAGCAAAAUAAUCACUACAUACAUAAAUAGUGGAGGCUGUCACCACCAACGCCCUCAGAAUGUCCAUCCUGUGCAUCUUUCUGUCCUACUCCAUGACUGCCUGGAGAUAUAUAGAUGUGUGACACAUUUGUCAUGAAAUGAAGUAAGAGUUUUCUUGGAAGUUAAUGCACGUGGGAUGAGCAACAGUGUCCCAUGUCCCUCUUGGAGAGAAAUGCACACACAUGUUCUGCCAUGUAUCUACUGUCUUGCACUGGAACUGUGUGCGUUCAGGGGAGUUUAAUUACAGAACGGCCAAGGAUUAAUACACCUUAUUAGAAAAAUAGCACGUCUCCCAAAGCCCAGGCAUGGCUGCCUUGUCCUAUUCUCCCUUGGACAACCAGGAUUAUCUGCUUUUAAAGCAUACACAUAAACUGUGCUACUGGAUAUGGCUGGGAACCACAGUGAUUGAGGAAAUGGAGUUGAAACAAUGUGGGAAUGGCCUCUGAUGUCCCCAGCUGUAUAUUUUCUUUCAGGUUUGAACUUACUCACCUCUAUGUGGUUACUGGUUUUUCAACCUGGGAUAUAUGCCAGUGACUCAUAGACCACAGUUCAUAGUCUGCAAGUAGUACAUGGAGCUCUACUGCAUUAAUGGGGUUCUUGGAGAAAGUUUAUGAAGGGUGCACAGCCAUGUGUGAAAAAUAGAAUGUAAGUGGAGACCCAAAAUAUUUUGGUGACACUAGCUUGAUAUGAAGUAACCCAUGGAAUUAGUUCCGCAUC
rnacentral:lncRNA from 1 species